UUCAAGAGAACCCUCGUACCAAAUAGAGAACUCCAUUACCAGCUUUUCAGAAGAAAAGUUGUUGGUUGCUUGGCGGAGCUGUUGAGGGGAGAAGGUACGGAUGGGAAUAGGCUUGGCAUUGCAAGAGGCAAUCAGCUUCUCAAGUAACUUGCUUCCAUUCUCAUAAAACGCUCUCUCUGUUUCCUCUCUUUCCU